rnacentral:misc_RNA from 1 species
CAGGCUAUCUUCAAAUCAUGAAAUAUUCCGGGUUCAAAGCCCGGCAGCGGAACCA